AUUGAACGCUGGCGGCAUGCUUUACACAUGCAAGUCGAACGGCAGCGCGGGCUUCGGCCUGGCGGCGAGUGGCGAACGGGUGAGUAAUACAUCGGAACGUGCCCAGUAGUGGGGGAUAGCUCGGCGAAAGCCGGAUUAAUACCGCAUACGACCUGAGGGUGAAAGCGGGGGAUCUUCGGACCUCGCGCUAUUGUGGCGGCCGAUGGCAGAUUAGCUAGUUGGUGGGGUAAAGGCCUACCAAGGCGACGAUCUGUAGCUGGUCUGAGAGGACGACCAGCCACACUGGGACUGAGACACGGCCCAGACUCCUACGGGAGGCAGCAGUGGGGAAUUGUGGACAAUGGGCGAAAGCCUGAUCCAGCAAUGCCGCGUGUGUGAUGAAGGCCUUCGGGUUGUAAAGCACUUUUGGCGGGAACGAAAAGGACUGUGCCAAUACCACGGUUCGAUGACGGUACCCGCAGAAUAAGCACCGGCUAACUACGUG
rnacentral:rRNA from 1 species